CCUACGGUGGGCUGCAGUGAGGAAUAUUGGUCAAUGGGCGCGAGCCUGAACCAGCCAAGUCGCGUGAGGGAGGACGGCCCUACGGGUUGUAAACCUCUUUUGCCGGGGAGCAACGGGCGCCACGUGUGGCGCCACUGAGAGUACCCGGAGAAAAAGCAUCGGCUAACUCCGUGCCAGCAGCCGCGGUAAUACGGGGGAUGCGAGCGUUAUCCGGAUUAAUUGGGUUUAAAGGGUGCGUAGGCGGAUCGUUAAGUCAGGGGACAAAUUGAGGGGCUCAACCCUUUGCGCCAUUGAAACUGGCGUUCUUGAGUGGAAGAGAAGUAUGCGGAAUGCGUGGUGUAGCGGUGAAAUGCAUAGAUAUCACGCAGAACCCCGAUUGCGAAGGCAGCAUGCCGGCUUCCGACUGACGCUGAAGCACGAAAGCGUGGGGAUCGAACAGGAUUAGAUACCCCAGUAGUC
rnacentral:rRNA from 1 species